CCUUCUCCUUACUUAGUUCAGAAUGACAUAUAUAGUCAUUACGUAUGACCGUCUUUGGAAUCUCACGUGGGUUCCUGUAUGUACAAAAUCAAAUUUGAUCUUCCCUUAUUAAUGUGUCUCAGGUCGAUCGGAUUCUCAGACCAGCCAGAAGAAACUUGAAGGGCAGAGGAAAGGUUCUCCUCGCCAACAGAGAUAACCCACGGGACACCCAGGGAGUUGUUUCUCGCCCCAGUCCUGAAGGGCACAGACCAUCUGGCAGCUUCCAAAGGAAGGCUUUGCCCUCCCUGCCUUGGACUGGACAUCCAAAUGCUGACCUAGGGAGACCAGAGGCCACUCUUGAGCUGCCUGAACACUCAAUGAUCUCCGAUCAACAGGGCCUCAGUGUGACCUGGGGGCUUCUGAGCCCGAGAAUGAGUGUGGCUUUCAUGUGGCAAGACCGUCUUCUCCGAAGGAAGGAGGUCUGAGGAGGCCCCGGUGUCUGAGCCAGGCCUCAACUCCCCCAGCCGACUGUUCUGCGUUAGAACUGCUUGUCCAAAAGUAGGAAAUGCUAAAAGCACAUUUAUCACUAUCUUACUGAGGCCCGAGGAAAAGGUUUUGCCAAAAACAAACAGCCUGGAACCCAGAGCUUUAACCAGAUGAAGAGAUUCUAAUCUUUAAGAACUGCUGAUACUCAAACAAACCAUCCUGUCAAAGGACUUGGCACUCUGGUGUUGUCUCCCUGAAAGCUCCAGGCACCAUCCGGGCGUCCGUCCGGCCAGUGUCUGUGAGGUAGACAAGUGUGUUUCUCUUUACGUGGGCUGAGA